CCUACGGGGGGCUGCAGUGGGGAAUUUUGGACAAUGGGCGCAAGCCUGAUCCAGCCAUGCCGCGUGCGGGAAGAAGGCCUUCGGGUUGUAAACCGCUUUUGUCAGGGAAGAAACGCUCUGGGUGAAUACCCUGGGGUAAUGACGGUACCUGAAGAAUAAGCACCGGCUAACUACGUGCCAGCAGCCGCGGUAAUACGUAGGGUGCAAGCGUUAAUCGGAAUUACUGGGCGUAAAGCGUGCGCAGGCGGUUAUGCAAGACAGAUGUGAAAUCCCCGGGCUUAACCUGGGAACUGCAUUUGUGACUGCAUAGCUAGAGUACGGUAGAGGGGGAUGGAAUUCCGCGUGUAGCAGUGAAAUGCGUAGAUAUGCGGAGGAACACCGAUGGCGAAGGCAAUCCCCUGGACCUGUACUGACGCUCAUGCACGAAAGCGUGGGGAGCAAACAGGCUUAGAUACCCGUGUAGUC
rnacentral:rRNA from 1 species